GGAAGUAAAAGUCGUAACAAGAUUUCCGUAGGUGAACCUGCGGAAGGAUCAUUAGCAGAGGAGAGGAUUUGGGGCCAGAGGAAUCUGGUCACAUUUGCGGGGGGAUUGUUUUGUUGUAUCGUGUCGUGUGACAUGUGUGACAUGUGUGACAUUACACUGUUACACUAUGUUGCAAUAUUACACUUGAGCUCUCAACAAUGGAUCUCUGGGCUCUU
rnacentral:misc_RNA from 1 species